rnacentral:rRNA from 1 species
GACAGCCCCGUACACAAAAGCGCAUGUGCUGUGAGCUCGAUGAGUAGGGCGGGACACGUGGUAUCCUGUCUGAAUAUGGGGGGACCAUCCUCCAAGGCUAAAUACUCCUGACUGACCGAUAGUGAACCAGUACCGUGAGGGAAAGGCGAAAAGAACCCCGGCGAGGGGAGUGAAAAAGAACCUGAAACCGUGUACGUACAAGCAGUGGGAGCCCCACCACCAAAGCAUUUGCUGUACCGCGUUGACGGAGCGAAGCGACGUCAAACCGAUAAAACAGCAGUGUAAAGUGAGCCGCAGGGCGCUUUGCGCGACAGCGCAAAGGCAGGCGGUUUCGCGUAGCGAAAGCGAAUGCUUUGGGGUGGGGUGACUGCGUACCUUUUGUAUAAUGGGUCAGCGACUUAUAUUCUGUAGCAAGGUUAACCGAAUAGGGGAGCCGGAGGGAAACCGAGUCUUAAUUGGGCGUUAAGUUGCAGGGUAUAGACCCGAAACCCGGUGAUCUAGCCAUGGGCAGGUUGAAGGUUGGGUAACACUAACUGGAGGACCGAACCGACUAAUGUUGAAAAAUUAGCGGAUGACCUGUGGCUGGGGGUGAAAGGCCAAUCAAACCGGGAGAUAGCUGGUUCUCCCCGAAAGCUAUUUAGGUAGCGCCUCGUGAAUUCAUCUCCGGGGGUAGAGCACUGUUUCGGCUAGGGGGCCAUCCCGGCUUACCAACCCGAUGCAAACUGCGAAUACCGGAGAAUGUUAUCACGGGAGACACACGGCGGGUGCUAACGUCCGUCGUGAAGAGGGAAACAACCCAGACCGCCAGCUAAGGUCCCAAAGUCAUGGUUAAGUGGGAAACGAUGUGGGAAGGCCCAGACAGCCAGGAUGUUGGCUUAGAAGCAGCCAUCAUUUAAAGAAAGCGUAAUAGCUCACUGGUCGAGUCGGCCUGCGCGGAAGAUGUAACGGGGCUAAACCAUGCACCGAAGCUGCGGCAGCGACACUGUGUGUUGUUGGGUAGGGGAGCGUUCUGUAAGCCUGUGAAGGUGUGUCGUGAGGCAUGCUGGAGGUAUCAGAAGUGCGAAUGCUGACAUAAGUAACGAUAAAGCGGGUGAAAAGCCCGCUCGCCGGAAGACCAAGGGUUCCUGUCCAACGUUAAUCGGGGCAGGGUGAGUCGACCCCUAAGGCGAGGCCGAAAGGCGUAGUCGAUGGGAAACGGGUUAAUAUUCCCGUACUUGGUGUUACUGCGAAGGGGGGACGGAGAAGGCUAUGUUGGCCGGGCGACGGUUGUCCCGGUUUAAGCGUGUAGGUGUGUGUUCCAGGUAAAUCCGGUUCACUUUAACACUGAGGCGUGACGACGAGGCACUACGGUGCUGAAGCAACAAAUGCCCUGCUUCCAGGAAAAGCCUCUAAGCAUCAGGUAACAUCAAAUCGUACCCCAAACCGACACAGGUGGUCAGGUAGAGAAUACCAAGGCGCUUGAGAGAACUCGGGUGAAGGAACUAGGCAAAAUGGUGCCGUAACUUCGGGAGAAGGCACGCUGACACGUAGGUGAAGUGAUUUACUCAUGGAGCUGAAGUCAGUCGAAGAUACCAGCUGGCUGCAACUGUUUAUUAAAAACACAGCACUGUGCAAACACGAAAGUGGACGUAUACGGUGUGACGCCUGCCCGGUGCCGGAAGGUUAAUUGAUGGGGUCAGCGCAAGCGAAGCUCCUGAUCGAAGCCCCGGUAAACGGCGGCCGUAACUAUAACGGUCCUAAGGUAGCGAAAUUCCUUGUCGGGUAAGUUCCGACCUGCACGAAUGGCGUAAUGAUGGCCAGGCUGUCUCCACCCGAGACUCAGUGAAAUUGAACUCGCUGUGAAGAUGCAGUGUACCCGCGGCAAGACGGAAAGACCCCGUGAACCUUUACUAUAGCUUGACACUGAACAUUGAGCCUUGAUGUGUAGGAUAGGUGGGAGGCUUUGAAGUGUGGACGCCAGUCUGCAUGGAGCCGACCUUGAAAUACCACCCUUUAAUGUUUGAUGUUCUAACGUGGACCCGUUACCCGGGUUGCGGACAGUGUCUGGUGGGUAGUUUGACUGGGGCGGUCUCCUCCUAAAGAGUAACGGAGGAGCACGAAGGUUGGCUAAUCCUGGUCGGACAUCAGGAGGUUAGUGCAAUGGCAUAAGCCAGCUUGACUGCGAGCGUGACGGCGCGAGCAGGUGCGAAAGCAGGUCAUAGUGAUCCGGUGGUUCUGAAUGGAAGGGCCAUCGCUCAACGGAUAAAAGGUACUCCGGGGAUAACAGGCUGAUACCGCCCAAGAGUUCAUAUCGACGGCGGUGUUUGGCACCUCGAUGUCGGCUCAUCACAUCCUGGGGCUGAAGUAGGUCCCAAGGGUAUGGCUGUUCGCCAUUUAAAGUGGUACGCGAGCUGGGUUUAGAACGUCGUGAGACAGUUCGGUCCCUAUCUGCCGUGGGCGCUGGAGAACUGAGGGGGGCUGCUCCUAGUACGAGAGGACCGGAGUGGACGCAUCACUGGUGUUCGGGUUGUCAUGCCAAUGGCACUGCCCGGUAGCUAAAUGCGGAAGAGAUAAGUGCUGAAAGCAUCUAAGCACGAAACUUGCCCCGAGAUGAGUUCUCCCUGAGACUUA